rnacentral:rRNA from 1 species
ACCUCUGGUGCACCAGUUGUCCUGCCAAGGGCAUAGCUGGGUAGCUAUGUACGGACGAGAUAAACGCUGAAGGCAUCUAAGCGUGAAACUCCCCCUAAGAUUAGAUCUCUCAUUCGAAAGAAGUAAGGCACGACGUAGACUAUGUCGUUGAUAGGCCGGAGGUGGAAGCACGGUAACGUGUGCAGCUGACCGGUACUAAUAAGCCGAGGGCUUGACCUU